UUUUUUUUUUUUUUUUUUUUUUUUUUUUUUGUCUUUUUGCUAUUUCUUGGGCCGCUCCCGCGGCAUAUGGAGGUUCCCAGGCUAGGGGUUGAAUCGGAGCUGUAGCCACCGGCCUACGCCAGAGCCACAGCAACGCGGGAUCCGAGCCGCGUCUGCAACCUACACCACAGCUCACGGCAACGCCAGAUCCUUAACCCACUGAGCAAGGCCAGGGACCGAACCCGCAACCUCAUGGUUCCUAGUUGGAUUCGUUAACCAUUGCACCACGAUGGGAACUCCCAGUCACUAAUCUUUGAAGCCUCACUGUUAAGACAUAAUGUAAAUGUAUUUUGAGGGAAAAAUAUGACCUAUGCGGGAGAUAAGCAUAUACAAAUAUAUUUAAAUAUACGGGGUGGCUAAGCUCAAAUUAAUAAAUCCAUCAAUAGCCAACAGCUAAAAUUCAUCACCUCAUUUCUUUUUUUGUGAUUUUAAUGGUCCUACUAUUUAUUUAAUUUUAUUUUUCGUUAGAUAAUUUUUUAAAACUUUUAUUGGAGUAUAGUUGACUUAGAAUGUUGUACUGGUUUCAGGUGUUCAGCACAGUGAAUCAGCUAUAUGUAUAAAUACAUCCUCUCUCUUUUCUCACAUAGGUUAACGAACUAUUGAGUAUUCCUGUACUAUACAGUAAGUUCCCACUAAUCAUCUAUUUUAUACAGUAGGGUGUAUAUUUUAUUCUCUCCCUCCUAAUGGGUUUCACCUGUGGUAACCAUAAGAUUGGUUUUGAAAUAAGUAAAAAAUGCUACAAAAGAACUUAUUUAUAGAAUAGAAGCAAACCCACAGAUUUCAUCUUAUUUCUUACACCAGCUAUUCUCUCUGAUUUUUCUAGUUUGUAAAUGACGCACAUUCUUCUUAGGUAUCCAGAUCCGCGUUCUAAAUGCUGAAUCCUUUCUGGACCAUCUCUAGCCUAUUGUAUGCAAUUUUGACAACUCUCUCUUUUCCUGCUAGAUCAACACACUCUUUCACACCUGCGUUAUCACCAGAGCCCCUUCAACAGUCGGGUCGACCCAGCCUAACUCUAUACAUCACGUGGCCAAGAUGAACCUCCUCCACUCAAGUAAUGUCAAUAUUCUUCUCCCAAACCUUAACAUUUGCUCCUAAACAUCUUUUGAAAGUUGCUUAAUUACAAAGCACCAUCCUUCCCAGGCACAAGAAGGGGGCCACACAAGUGCUUGCUGUCUCUCUCUCUUCCACCCUCCCCAUACCCCCCAUGGAUUCUGGGGGCCAGCAACUACCCCCUGAACUUUUCAGGUGCUCUUUACAUAAAGAUCUCUGCACCCAUGGUGGUCCGGGUCUCCCUCCAGCCACAGGGUGGUCAAACGAAGUUGCUUUUUCUGGGAGAGAGGCUGACCAUGCCAACCAGGGUGAUGUCAACCCUUAAGGAGUGGGAAUUGGUAGGGAACACGAGCCAUUCUUUUCAGGUGUAUGGCGCUGAUGUACAGCUCUGAGACAGAGACACAGAGAGACACAGGACACACAGACUGUAUCUGUCUAUGCACAUUGGGCUAGGGCAUGACUAGAGGAAUGAAAUGUCUGAAAUAGCUUUGGAGAGGAAUUAGAGGAAAACAAGUUUGAGGCUCCAGUGUUUCCUGAUUCUGAUGAUGCUAUAACCUGCGUGGGCUUCUGUAACUGGUGGCCGAGGGCAUCGUGGCAGCGAGGCCAGCAAGACCUCCUCAGAACAGAGACCGCGUCCCCAGCUGCUGCGUGCUGGUCGCCGAUAGGAGAAAAAUUAUCAUCCCGUUUCACUACAUUAUGCAUCAGGAUGUUCAGCGAUUUCUUUUAAAAUUUCUAUUGGUAACUUUAAGUGCAAUGGUCUCAUCAAAAUGAGUGAUGAUUUCCCAUGUCCUAAGUUCUUCCUGUCCUGUGUUUGCAGCAUUAGAAAGGAAUGGUAAGGAAUGACUCGUGGAGUAAUUCAUAAAUAAGGGAAUCACCCUCUAGGAGUAAUGACGGUACCUCUGAACACCAGUUAUGGCUCUGUCAGCAGGCUGAAAUUCUUAGCUCCAUUUUUCCUUUUGACCCACAAAACAACCCUAUAGGUGUGUAGUAUUAUCAACAUUUUUCAGUUGAAGAGACUAAAACUUGGAAAACCCAAGGGAUGUAUCAACAGUCAAAGAGUUAGUGGCUGAAAGUUAAGAUUCAAACCUUGGUCUCUUUGCUUUGAAAGCCUAUUCUCUUAUCCACUAAUGUACCAGAAAGAUAACCCAUUAAAACCCGCUCUAAACAAGGUCCAGCAAGGGAUGCUCUCUGUUACGGUAAAUGGUUCCCUGGGGAACUGGAGCUGGGACCACAAAGUAAGGGGCCGGGAGAAGAAACUUCCAAGCAUGAGCAUUCCCCAUAAAGACAGGUCUAUGCUGAAAGGCAGAAUCCACAGUUAGGACAUUGCUUCUGCACAGUCUAUGUCUGAAUUCUAAUUCUAUGAACAAGCAGAAAUUUGUUUUUCAGAAACUAAAAUGUAUGCAGACUACCCAACCAUAUACACCCAUAAUUCCAAACAUUUAUGUUUGAAUUAACGAUGUUUAAUUUGACAGCUAGGGGUUCCCCUUGUGGUGCUGCAGAAAUGAACCAGACCAAUAUCCAUGAGGAUACAGAUUCGAUCCCUGGCUUGCUCAGUGGGUUAAGGAUCUGGUGUUGCCAUGAGCUGUGGUGUAGGUCACAGAUGCAGCUUGGAUCUGGCUGUGGUGCAGGCUGGCAGCUGCAGCUCUGAUUUGACCUCCAGCCUGGGAACGUCCACAUGCCAUGGGCAUGGCCCUAAAAAGCAAAGUAAUUAAGUAAGUAAAUAAAUAAAUAAAUAAUUUGACAGCUAAAAAGUCACCAAAUAGAUGCUGUUUGUUACUUCCUGUGAGCUCAGUAGACGCUAAAGGACCAUCACACCUCUGUGCUGGUCCUAAUCAGGCUCGGGUGAGUCACCUUCCCAAGCACAUGCAAAGGUGGCCCAGAAGUGCAUGGCCCAGUGCAGCCAGAGGAGGGGUCGAUGCGAUACCCACCAGCUGGCACAGCUGCGCUUACACCAUCACCAGUGCCCAUCCUACAAAUGCACAGUGUGCUACAGGUGUGUCUAUUGCACGCUGCCAGGAUGCUUGCAAGCAUGUUGUGCCAGCAUAUUCUCUUUUUUUAAAAUAAAUUUCCUUGCAGUAUAGUUGACUUACAUUAUGUUGGUUUCAUAAUUAUAAAAGUAAAUCAGUUAUACAUAUACAUACAUCCAUUCUUUUUCAGAUUCUUUUCCCAUAUAGUUUAUUAAACAGUGUUGCGUAGGUUGCCCUGUGCUAUAAAUAGGUCCUUGUUACCUAUCCAUUUUAUACACAGUGGUGUGCCUAUGUCAGUCCCUUAAUUUAUCUCCGCACCCCAUGUUUCUCUUUUGGUAACCAAAACAAAACAAAAGAAAUCAAAUAAACAAAAAACAAUUAAAAACAUGGCCAGGAGUUCCCUUUGUGGCUCAGUGGUUAAGGAACCCCACUAGGAUCUAUGAGGAUGUGGGUUCCAUCCCUGGCCUCGCUCAUGGGUUAAGUCUCCAGUAUUGCCACAAGGUGCAGCAUAGGCCACAGAUGUAGCUAUGGUGCAGGCCGCAGCUGCAGCUCAGAUUCAACCACUGGUUCAGGAACUUCCAUAUGUCACGGAUGUGGCCCUAAAAUGAAAAACAAGUUUAAUAUUUCUUUUCACAUUAGCAAAUGGCAAACAUAUAAGAUUAUCUGAAAAUAUGUAGAAAAAAAAGAUUUAGCAACCAUUCAAGAUUGAUACAUUUCUUUUUUUUUUUCUUUUUUCUUUUUCUUGUUAAGGGCUGCAACCAAGGCAUAUGGAAGAUCCCAGGCUAGGGGUCCAAUCAUAGUUGCAGCUGCUGGCCUGAUCCACAGCCACAGCAACGUGGGAUCCAAGCCUCAUCUUCGACCUAUACCACAGCUCUUGGCAACGCCAGAUCCCCAACCCACUGAGGGAAGUCAGGGAUCGAACCU
rnacentral:lncRNA from 1 species